AACUAGUUGAUUUAAGAUUUUGUAUUCAAUACAUUCAUAAAAUGUUUGUAGUCACAUGACUAAUAAUAAAAACUUGGCAGUCAAAAAGAAAUUCAAUUUUUAACCCUGCAUGAUGGUUGGAUAGAAAAUCCAAUCCAUUGCAAAUGUAUGUUAAGGCACCUAGUCUGCCUGCUACAAAUUGAUUGCAUAAAGUACGUAGCAAAGACGAACCUCCUCAAAGUCCACUCGGCAGUGUGGAAACUUUGAGCAUUCUUUUUAUUUACGUAACCUUAUGGAACAUCUUGUUGCACCGUUCAAGGUCUAGACGGGGAUGUUCCCCAAGGAGGUAAAUAAUUGUCCCCCACGCAGAAGAUUUCUCCAUUACGAAUGAGAGCGCAUCUACCACCUCUGUACUGCUGCCUGAUGGUGCAGCAAUUCUCACAGUGUUCCGGGAAUAGUACAUCGCCGCAUCGGAGGAUAGAGUCGGAAAGGCAUUCCUUCGUGCAAGCUGCAGGAAACACGUUUAGCGAACCCCCAUGAAAUGGAGACUCGACUCAGAUGAAUAAAGAUCGCUGGAUUCAGCAUUUUGCUUCCUUACCUUGAGCUUCUGUUUUUCCCAGCAGCACCAGCAGAGCUGCGAGCAGUAAGCAGAGCGAAAAUAAGUGAGACCUCAUUGUGGACGGCGAGGAGUAACAAGCGUUGCUUGAAUGCUUGCUUUCGUGGGGAGUUUAUAGUCAGCUGGAUUUUCUGCUGGAUAGAAAGUCCCU
rnacentral:lncRNA from 1 species